UUGUGGGGAAGUGGGACUAGCAGGAAUUUGGAUGACAGCAAAAGGAAAAACAACAAGACAAAUUAACAAUUCAAAGGUUCAUGUGCAGCAAGUAAACAGGCAUUGUGGAAGAGGAGCCCAGGCAUCUGCUUGCUAAUUUCCCUCACUACCAAGAAACCUGAGUUAUUACCAGAGACUUCAAAUAUAGGAUUUUGAAAACCACAAAGAAAAUGAGAGCAGAGAAAAGG